rnacentral:rRNA from 1 species
CAGCAGCCGCGGUAAUACGAAGGGGGCUAGCGUUGCUCGGAAUUACUGGGCGUAAAGGGCGCGUAGGCGGACAGUUCAGUCGGGGGUGAAAGCCCGGGGCUCAACCCCGGAACUGCCUUCGAUACUGGCUGUCUUGAGUACGGGAGAGGUGUGUGGAACUCCGAGUGUAGAGGUGAAAUUCGUAGAUAUUCGGAAGAACACCAGUGGCGAAGGCGACACACUGGCCCGUUACUGACGCUGAGGCGCGAAAGCGUGGGGAGCAAACAGGAUUAGAUACCCCCGUAGUCCCUGUCUCUUAUAC